UNGCAAGAUGAUACACCCAAGCCUUGAUGA
rnacentral:piRNA from 1 species